CUUAUUUCUAGAGUAUAGAAAGUUACUUCGGUACAUCGGUGACAGGUGGUGCAUGGUUGUCGUCAGCUCGUGUCGUGAGAUGUUGGGUUAAGUCCCGCAACGAGCGCAACCCCUAUUGUUAGUUGCCAUCAUUCAGUUGGGCACUCUAGCGAGACUGCCGGUAAUAAACCGGAGGAAGGUGGGAUGACGUCAAAUCAUCAUGCCCCUUAUGACCUGGGCUACACACGUGCUACAAUGGUUGGUACAACGAGUUGCGAGUCGGUGACGGCGAGCUAAUCUCUUAAAGCCAAUCUCAGUUCGGAUUGUAGGCUGCAACUCGCCUACAUGAAGUCGGAAUCGCUAGUAAUCGCGGAUCAGCACGCCGCGGUGAAUACGUUCCCGGGCCUU
rnacentral:rRNA from 1 species